UUAAGCUAGUAAGAGCGUAGGGUGAAUGCCUAGGCACCAAAAGCCGAAGAAAGACGUGAUAAGCUGCGAAAAGCUAUGGGGAGGAGCAAAUAUCCAGAGAUCCAUAGAUAUCUGAAUGGGGGAACCCAUCAAAUGGUAAAGCAUUUGAUAUCCAUACAUGAAUACAUAGUGUAUGAGAAGGGAGACGGAGUGAACUGAAACAUCUAAGUAACUCCAGGAAAAGAAAAAGACAUUGAUUCCGAAAGUAGUGGCGAGCGAAAUCGGAGAAGCCCAAACCAGAGGUAGAAAUACCACUGGGGUUGAGGACUACAACAAGUUACUAAAAGUCAUAGUAGAAUUGUUUUGGAAAAGCAAACCAAAGGGAGUGAAAGUCUCGUAUACGAAAUGACUUGAAGGACGAGUAGAAUCCAGAGUACGGCAGGGCACGUGAAAUCCUGUCGGAAGCAGGCCGGACCACCGGCCAAGGCUAAAUACUAAUUGGUGACCGAUAGUGAAGCAGUACCGUGAGGGAAAGUUGAAAAGAACCCCGGGAGGGGAGUGAAAUAGAACCUGAAACCCUAUGUUUACAAGCAGACAAAGCACGUUAAGGUGCGAUGUCGUACUUUUUGUAGAACGGUCCGGCGAGUUACGUGUAUGAUGCGAGGUUAAAUACUGUGUAAGGUAUGAAGCCGAAGGGAAACCGAGUGUGAAUAGCGCGAAGAUAUAGUAUCAUGCAGUAGACCCGAAACCGAGUGACCUAUCCAUGAGCAGGUUGAAGCUUGAGUAAAAUCAAGUGGAGGACCGAACCGGUAUUCGUUGAAAAGGAUUCGGAUGACUUGUGGAUAGCGGAGAAAUUCCAAUCGAACUCGGAGAUAGCUGGUUCUCCUCGAAAUAGCUUUAGGGCUAGCCUUGUUUAGUAGCAUGUGGAGGUAAAGCACUGAAUAUGUGAGGGUUCUUACCAGAAUACCGAUCAUUAUCAAACUCUGAAUGCCAUGUGUGUAAGAACAGGAGUCAGACAGUGACAGCUAAGUGCCAUUGUCAAAAGGGAAAGAGCCCAGACCAACAGCUAAGGUCCCAAAAUUGUAGUUAAGUGGAAAAGGAUGUGGGAAUUCAUAGACAACCAGGAUGUUGGCUCAGAAGCAGCCAUUCAUUUAAAGAGUGCGUAAAAGCUCACUGGUCGAAGUAGGCCUGCGCCGAAAAUUACCGGGGCUAAACUACAUACCGAAGCUUUGGAUUUGGUACGUAAAGUAUUAAGUGGUAGAGGAGCGUUGUAUAGAGAUUGAAGCUAUACUGAAAAGAGUAGUGGACGAUAUACAAGAGAGAAUGCCGGAAUAAGUAGCGAGAGCACAGUGAGAAUCUGUGCCGCCGAAAACCUAAGGUUUCCUGGGGAAGGUUCGUCCGCCCAGGGUAAGUCGGGACCUAAGACGAGGCUAAAGCAGCGUAGUCGAUGGAAAGCAGGUAAAAGAUUCCUGCACUACCGAAAUGCGAUAUACAAUAUAUCAUGACGCAUCAGAAGAGUCUAAGCGAGCAAAUGGAAAAGUUCGUACCGCAAGGUGGAGUGAAAAAUAGUAACGAAGUAGAUAAAUCAGGUGACAAGAAAAGUGAUAUAGGAGCAUAGAGGUACUCGUACCGUAAACCGACACAGGUAGGAAGAAAGAGAAUUUUCAGGCGAACGAGAGAAUCAUUGUUAAGGAACUCGGCAAAUUAACCCCGUAACUUAGGGAUAAGGGGAGCCAAUAGCGAUAUUGGUCGCAGAGAAAUGGCCCAAGCAACUGUUUAGCAAAAACACAGGUUUCUGCCAAAUCGAAAGAUGAAGUAUAGGAGCUGACGCCUGCCCAGUGCUGGAAGGUCAAGGGGAAGAGUAAACGUUUCGAUGUGAAGCUCUGAACUUAAGCCCCAGUGAACGGCGGCCGUAACUAUAACGGUCCUAAGGUAGCGAAAUUCCUUGUCAGGUAAGUUCUGACCCGCACGAAAGGCGUAAUGAUUUGGGCACUGUCUCGACAAUGAACUCGGCGAAAUUGUAGUACUAGUGAAGAUGCUAGUUACCUGUGAUAAGACAGAAAGACCCCAUGGAGCUUUACUGUAGCUUGAUAUUGAGACUAGGUAAGAGAUGUACAGAAUAGAUGGGAGACUAUGAGAUAAGGACGCCAGUUCUUAAGGAGUCACCUUUGGGAUACCAUCCUUCUUUUACUUGGAAUCUAACUAGUUGCCAUGAACUGGUAAUAGGACAGUGUCAGGUGGGCAGUUUGACUGGGGCGGUCGCCUCCUAAAGAGUAACGGAGGCGUUCAAAGGUCAGCUUAACACGGUCAGAAAUCGUGUGAUGACGUGCAAAGGCGUAAGCUGGCUUGACUGCAAGACUGACAGGUCGAGCAGACGCGAAAGCGGGACUUAGUGACCCGAUGGUUGUGAGUGGAAAUGCCAGAGCUCAACGGAUAAAAGUUACCCUGGGGAUAACAGGCUUAUCUCCCCCGAGAGUCCAUAUCGACGGGGAGGUUUGGCACCUCGAUGUCGGCUCAUCGCAUCCUGGAGCGGUAGUACGUUCCAAGGGUUGGGCUGUUCGCCCAUUAAAGCGGUACGCGAGCUGGGUUCAGAACGUCGUGAGACAGUUCGGUCCUUAUCUAUCACAGGCGUAAGAUAUUUGAGAGGAGUUGCCCCUAGUACGAGAGGACCGGGGUGAAGGAACCGAUGGUGCACCAGUUGUAUCACCAGAUGCAUAGCUGGGUAGCCAAGUUCCGAUGGGAUAAACGCUGAAAGCAUAUAAGUGUGAAGCCCACCUCAAGAUUAGAUAUCUCAUGGCGAAAGUCAGUAAGACCCCAAGAAGACUACUUGGUUGAUAGGCUGGAAGUGUAAGUGUAGUAAUAUAUUAAGCGGACCAGUACUAAUAGGUCGAGGGCUUGACCAA
rnacentral:rRNA from 1 species